rnacentral:misc_RNA from 1 species
GAACAAGCCCUAUUGAUGUUGAAUGGAACCCAGUUAGCAGGACAAAAUAUUCGGCUUUCAUGGGGGCGAAGUCCUUCAAACAAACAGGCACAGCCAGAUCAAAGCCAGUGGAAUGGAGGAUAUUAUGGAUAUGCGCAAGGAUAUGAUGCAUAUGGAUAUGCUCCUUCUCAAGAUCCUAACAUGUAUUAUGGUGCCUAUCCUGGAUAUGGAAAUUACCAGCAAC